GCUGGUCUCAAACUCCUGAGCUCAAGCGAUCUGCUCACCUGGCCUUCUCAAAGUGCUGGGAUUGCAGGCUGGAGCCACUGUGCCAGAUGCCUCCUCCUACCUCUUCACAGCUGCCAUCAGCCCAGGAAAACCUUCAACUCAGUUAAGUACCAAGACACCUGCCCAAGAUGGAGAUGAGAAACAAAAAAAGGACAAAGAACCCCUAUUUAGACAAUCAGAGAGGAAUUGC
rnacentral:lncRNA from 10 species